GACGAACGCUGGCGGCGUGCUUAACACAUGCAAGUCGAACGGAAAGGCCCUGCUUUUGUGGGGUGCUCGAGUGGCGAACGGGUGAGUAACACGUGAGUAACCUGCCCUUGACUUUGGGAUAACUUCAGGAAACUGGGGCUAAUACCGGAUAGGAGCUCCUGCUGCAUGGUGGGGGUUGGAAAGUUUCGGCGGUUGGGGAUGGACUCGCGGCUUAUCAGCUUGUUGGUGGGGUAGUGGCUUACCAAGGCUUUGACGGGUAGCCGGCCUGAGAGGGUGACCGGCCACAUUGUGACUGAGAUACGGCCCAGACGCCUUCGGGAGGCAGCAGUGGGGAAUAUUGCACAAUGGGCGGAAUCCGGAUGCAGCAACGCCGCGUGCGGGAUGACUGCUUUCGGGUUGUAAACCGCUUUCGCCUGUGACGAAGCGUGAGUGACGGUAAUGGGUAAAGAAGCACCGGCUAACUACGU
rnacentral:rRNA from 1 species